rnacentral:rRNA from 1 species
GACGAACGCUGGCGGCGUGCUUAACACAUGCAAGUCGAACGGAGUGGCGAACGGGUGAGUAACACGUGGGUGAUCUGCCCUGCACUUCGGGAUACGCUUGGGAAACUGGGUCUAAUACCGGAUAGUGCAAGAUGAGCUCGCGGCCUAUCGGCUCGUUGGUGGGGUAAUGGCCUACCAAGGCGUCGACGGGUAGCCGGCCUGAGAGGGCGUACGGCCACAUUGGGACUGAGGUACGGACCAGACUCCUACGGUAGGCAGGAGGGGGGGAUAUUGCACAAGGGGCGGAAGCAUGAUGCAGCGACGCCGCGUGAGGGAUGAAGGCAUUCGGGUUGUAAACUCCUUUCGAUAGGGACGCGGUACCUGGAUAAGAAGCACCGGCUAACUACGUGCCAGCAGCCGCGGUAAUUC